rfam:Verticillium longisporum isolate VL1 genome assembly, contig: scaffold_88
GGGCGAUUGGUUUAGUGGUAUAACGUCUGCUUAGCAUCGAAGCGAGAAAUCGUGAGAUCCUACCUGCUGAAGGUCGCGCGUUCGAUUCGCGCAUUGUCCA